rnacentral:rRNA from 1 species
CGUCCGGAACGGGCGCUAAUACCGCAUACGUCCUGAGGGAGAAAGUGGGGGAUCUUCGGACCUCACGCUAUCAGAUGAGCCUAGGUCGGAUUAGCUAGUUGGUGGGGUAAAGGCCUACCAAGGCGACGAUCCGUAACUGGUCUGAGAGGAUGAUCAGUCACACUGGAACUGAGACACGGUCCAGACUCCUACGGGAGGCAGCAGUGGGGAAUAUUGGACAAUGGGCGAAAGCCUGAUCCAGCCAUGCCGCGUGUGUGAAGAAGGUCUUCGGAUUGUAAAGCACUUUAAGUUGGGAGGAAGGGCAGUAAGUUAAUACCUUGCUGUUUUGACGUUACCAACAGAAUAAGCACCGGCUAACUUCGUGCCAGCAGCCGCGGUAAUACGAAGGGUGCAAGCGUUAAUCGGAAUUACUGGGCGUAAAGCGCGCGUAGGUGGUUCAGCAAGUUGGAUGUGAAAUCCCCGGGCUCAACCUGGGAACUGCAUCCAAAACUACUGAGCUAGAGUACGGUAGAGGGUGGUGGAAUUUCCUGUGUAGCGGUGAAAUGCGUAGAUAUA